rnacentral:rRNA from 1 species
AACGUACGCUGGCGGCACGCCUAACACAUGCAAGUCGAACGAAGUAGCAAUACUUAGUGGCAGACGGGUGAGUAACAUGUAGGUAUCUGCCCUUUGGCCUGGAAUAACACGAGGAAACUUGUGCUAAUACCGGAUAAGUCUUUACGGAGAAAGCUUUAUGCACCAUUGGAUGAGCCUGCACUUGAUUAGUUUGUUGGUGGGGUAAUGGCCUACCAAGGCUGUGAUCAAUAGCUGAUUUGAGAGGAUGAUCAGCCACAUUGGGACUGAGACACGGCCCAAACUCCUACGGGAGGCAGCAGUGGGGAAUCUUGCACAAUGGAGGAAACUCUGAUGCAGCGAUGCCGCGUGAGUGAAGAAGGCCCUUGGGUUGUAAAGCUCUUUCGUCGGGGAAGAAAAUGACUGUACCCGAAUAAGAAGGUCCGGCUAACUUCGUGCCAGCAGCCGCGGUAAUACGAAGGGACCUAGCGUAGUUCGGAAUUACUGGGCUUAAAGAGUUCGUAGGUGGUUGAAAAAGUUAGUGGUGAAAUCCCAGAGCUUAACUCUGGAACUGCCAUUAAAACUUUUCAGCUAGAGUAUGAUAGAGGAAAGCAGAAUUUCUAGUGUAGAGGUGAAAUUCGUAGAUACUAGAAAGAAUACCAAUUGCGAAGGCAGCUUUCUGGAUCAUUACUGACACUGAGGAACGAAAGCAUGGGUAGCGAAGAGGAUUAGAUACCCUCGUAGUCCAUGCCGUAAACGAUGUGUGUUAGACGUUGGAAAUUUAUUUUCAGUGUCGCAGCGAAAGCGAUAAACACACCGCCUGGGGAGUACGACCGCAAGGUUAAAACUCAAAUGAAUUGACGGGGACCCGCACAAGUAGUGGAGCAUGUGGUUUAAUUCGAAGAUACGCGCAGAACCUUACCAACACUUGACAUGUUCGUCGCGACUCUAAGAGAUUAGAGUUUUCGGUUCGGCCGGACGAAACACAGGUGCUGCAUGGCUGUCGUCAGCUCGUGUCGUGAGAUGUUGGGUUAAGUCCCGCAACGAGCGCAACCCUCACUUUUAGUUGCCAUCAUUAAGUUGGGCACUCUGAAAGAACUGCCAGUGAUAAGCUGGAGGAAGGUGGGGAUGACGUCAAGUCCUCAUGGCCCUUACGUGUUGGGCUACACACGUGCUACAAUGGUAUCUACAACAGGAAGCAAGACUGCGAAGUUAAGCAAAUCCCUAAAAGAUACCUCAGUUCGGACUGCACUCUGCAACUCGAGUGCAUGAAGCUGGAAUUACUAGUAAUCGUGGAUCAGCGUGCCACGGUGAAUGCGUUCCCGGGUCU